rnacentral:misc_RNA from 1 species
UUUCCGUAGGUGAACCUGCGGAAGGAUCAUUAUUAUAUAACCGAGGGUCGAGGGCUGUCGCUGACCCGACAGGUCGUGCACGCCCGAGUGCCCUCACACACAUCCAUCUCACCCCUAUGUGCACCACCGCGUGGGUCCCCCUUUGGCUUGUUCGGAGGGGGGCUUACGUCUUCACAAAACUUUUGUAUGCAGUGUAGAAUGUAUUUUUUGUUUUUGCGAUCACGCAAUCAAUACAACUUUCAACAACGGAUCUCUUGGCUCUC